CAGCGAGCGGACGAACAAAACGGGGCGGGCGGGCGCAGGAAGAGCGAAGGAAGGAAGCGGGCGGGCUUGACGGGAGGAACGGCUCAGGCUUCUCUCCUUCCUCGCCGGCCGCGCCCAGGCCCAAGCCGCCGCUGUUGUUGUUGCUUUUUUUUUUUAACCUACCCCCCUUUUUUUCCCGGGGAGUUUUUUUUCCGUUCCCCCCUCCUCUCAAAACCAGAGAGAGAGAGAGAGGAAGGGAUUUAUAUAGAUUGAAAAAACAUAUAUAUUUUUUUCCGCCCGCCCGCCUGCCUGUCUGUCCAUCUGGGUCUGUCUUUCUGCCGCCUCAGGGGGUCGCCUUUAUUUGUGUGGUUGCUGCAGCCGCCGCCCUCCUUUUUGGUUUCUUCCCCCCCUCCCCCCCAGUGUGUGGCGGUUAGGGCUCGUGAGGGAAAGCGGCUGCCACGCGCCGCGCGGGACGGACGGGCUGAGGGAAGGCAAGGCAAGGCAAGGCGGGCGGGCCUGAGGCGGUGUCGGAAGGGGGCUCGCGCGGCCCGAAAGAAGGGGAAAGGAAAAAAAAAACACGUCGCCUUCCUCCCCCGACGAGGAAAAAAAAAAGGCGAAGCAAGGACGCCUCAGCGACGACGCCUCGGAGGGAGAAAAGCAGAGCUUGGCGGGGUUGGGGGUGUUCCUCGCCUGCCUGCCUGCCCCCCACGGGCCUGCAAAAGAAGAGUGGAGGGAGAGAGGCCGAAAAAGAAGGGCCGAGAAGAGGGGGUGGUGGCUGGUUUCUUUCUUCUUCUUUUUUUUUUUGGAGGGGGGCCUUUGCCGGCGUCGGCGGUGAAUGAGCAGCGGCCGUCGAGGAAGAUUUUUGAGCAACUGAGAGGUGUCAGAGAGGCACACCUUUAGUACGGGAAGAUGAGUGAACUUGACCAGUUACGCCAGGAGGCGGAGCAACUGAAAAAUCAAAUCAGAGAUGCUAGGAAAGCAUGUGCCGAUGCUACGUUGGCCCAGCAGUCCAAGACCUAUUGUUCCAUUUUGACUUUGGUUGUUCAUUGCUUGUCCAUGGAAUCCUCUUCUGCCAGAGGCUAAAGUGAAGUAGUACUAGAGCAAGUUGGAGUUCGGUGUAUUGUCUCAGAAACACUGGUUGCUGAUGAGGUAGUCUCAGAUAUUUUGUCUCCCCUGGCCAGUCUCCAAGAUCACCUUUUAGCAUAGCCUCUGAGAAACACUGACUGAAUGCCGAAAAAAAGAAAAAAAAAUCAGUGAGUGAACAAUUUCUGUUUUCUACCAAUGCUGUAUCCAGGAGUCUGGACCCUGAGAGUGGAAAAGGAAUUUCAAGAAUCUGAUGUGUAAUUGAGGGAUGGUAAUUCUAAAUCUGAAAAGCAGCCUGUACCCCCCAAGCUGCCUUGACAGGUUUCAUUAGGAAGCAGGAAUGAUUUGUGCUGUUUAAUUAACUGUGUU